rnacentral:rRNA from 1 species
GAUGAACGCUGGCGGCGUGCUUAACACAUGCAAGUCGAGCGAGAAGUUUUGAAAAGAUUCUUCGGAUGAAAUUUAAAAUGGAAAGCGGCGGACGGGUGAGUAACGCGUAGGCAACCUGCCCCAUACAAAGGGAUAGCAUUUGGAAACGAAUAUUAAUACCUUAUGAAACUUAACUAGUGCAUGCUAGGUAGGUCAAAGAUUUAUCGGUAUGGGAUGGGCCUGCGUCUGAUUAGCUAGUUGGUGAGGUAACGGCUCACCAAGGCGACGAUCAGUAGCCGACCUGAGAGGGUGAACGGCCACAUUGGAACUGAGACACGGUCCAAACACCUACGGGAGGCAGCAGUGGGGAAUAUUGAACAAUGGGGGAAACACUGAUGCAGCAACGCCGCGUGAACGAUGAAGGCCUUUGGGUCGUAAAGUUCUGUUCUAGGUGAUGAAAACUGACAGUAACCGAGGAGAAAGCCCCGGCUAACUCCGUG